AAAAACACUUUUCAAAUCCAAAGAUUUAUCAAGAUUUAUUCACUGGUGGACGGCGAAUGCAAAAGAGAGAAAAGCGUUAGAAAGUGAAAAAAAAACUAUAUGUAAAUUCAGCUUCUUAAAAUACCUAAAGCUCCUAAAAUAUAUAAACAUAUAUUUAAAAGUGGUUCUCUUUAAUAUUGCAUGUUAAAGGUUUCGCUUUUAUAAUUUAUAUAUGCAAAUGUCUACAGCUCGUUUUGAGUUGGCCAGAAUAUGAUCUAGAUAGAUUGACCUUCAAGUGCUCUUCAAAUUUGCCCGAAACAUUUGUGAAUACGGAUACGACGUUGUACUUCCGGCUAUUCCCCAGGCAUUGGCGUGCCGUUAGUGUGUGCGUGUGAGUGUAUGUGUGAAUAUUGGCUGAAAGGGCAGAGCGCCACUAAAUUAUAAUGAAACCAAAAUUAAGUGGUCAUUUUUACUGAAUUAUUGGCCAAUUAUUUUAAGGCAAUUGAGUCAAGUGGCCCAGCUGAGAGCGGCUUAGGGCAAUUUCAAAGGCCCCAAAUGUGCAAAAGUUUGCGUAGCAAAUCAUUUGUUUAUUAGUUUUACAAGAAGCACACAAAAACUUUAGCUGACUUGCAUAAGUAAAAAGAAAAGAUAACAACAACCCGAACAACGAGCAAAUAAAUGUUAUUCAAUGCGCCAGACUCAAAGCAAGUGAAUCAAGUGUAUGAAUAAUAUGAAUGCUAAUUGAAUUCAUUAGAAGGCAACAACAAGGCCAACGAGAACACAGCUGAGUACAAGCGCAAACAACAACAACAAUAACAGUCAGGCAUAACUUUGGCAAAUGAUUAUAAUAAAUAAACAACAACACGGCCAAAAAGUUUUUGGGGCCCAUAAGCAGCGCACAAGACAAGGCAAAACAGAUGUUCCAAGAACUUUAACUUCAGCUAGCAAAGAGACACCAAUUUUGACUGAUGGCAAAUGAUGGAAAAAUCUAAAAGUGCACAAUUUUUUCGUGAAGAGCAACAACACCCAAAAAGUUGUUAUGCCUGAAAUAAAAAAGUGCAAUAAAAUGGCUGCCAAUCAAUUUUUAGACACGGCAAAAAUUCAAAUAUUAAAUGAAAAUGGAGUAUAAAGAAGCGAAUACCCUGUAUAUAUUCAACACUAUCUGCCGAAAGUAAAGCUUUUUAGACGUUCAUAAUCGAAUGAUCAAUCAGAGCUAGUAUUGGAUCAUUUUUUGAUUCUGCAAGCAAAAACAAUAUUGUCAAAGAAAUAACUUGAAGACAUCACAAUACUUGACUAUAGUAAAUAUACAAUCAUCAAAGUCAAAAUGCUUACUACAUUGUGAUAUUUAUUUUAAUUUCUAAGACGUAAGGCAUUGAUAUUUCCCUGAAGUAUUGCAAAUGAAAGAUAAAAAAACCAUCAGAACAGUUAUACACAAGAAGCUUCUAGAAAAAUGCAAUUCCCAUUGCUUUUGAUAGAAAGGCUUACAAGCAAAAAGUGUUCGCACAUAUACAUGCAAAUUGCAGCUCAUGUCUCUGUUGACGGGUCUAACAAGAAAACUAAACAGUUAGUUAGUUGCCAGCCAAUUGACUUGCUCAGUGUCAUAACAAUAAAAGUUGAGUGCGAAGCAAAAAGCGCAAGCGGAAAUGAAAUGGAAGCGAAAGAGAGGAACAAGCAAAAUAGGGCGAAAUACAAUUGGCAAUGCAGUUAGUUUUUCCGCGUGUGUGUCCGUCUGUGUGUUUGUGCGGCUCAGAUGGCGUAUGCGUAAUGAGUACAAGGUCUAAUGGCAAAACUACUUUGUGUGCGCCAGCAAAACAGAAUUUUCUCAAGACAAAGGGAAAAGUCAAGUGCAAGUGAAGUGUGCACAAGUCAAUUGGUAAUUGGUUAUUGGCGUCAACAAUUUGUGUGCAUUUAAAAUACGAAUUCAAUUAAAUAAACUUUUGUGGCAUCUUUUGCCACUGUUGACACAGAUCAAUAAUAAACUAGAUUAAUGGGUACAUUGUUUCUCGUAAUUGCAGUGCAUGCAAUUCACUUCAAUAAAAGCAAAGCACAUUAACCACAACUUAUUUUAUGCAACAUUCACCAUGAAAUUGCUGCUGCUGUUAAGGGUUUAACCCGAGACAUGACAGUGCGAACACAUAUUUGAAAUAUUGCUGCAAUAUGUGUGUGCAAACAAUGACAGAGGACAACUGAGCAGAAAUGUUGUUUCUGUUGCUUUGCCUGCGUCAGUUAUUAUUCAAUUAUGCAUGCCAAGAAUUAACGACGAGCUGGCAAAUUAAAUUAACAAUUAGUUUUAUUAAACUUAAAGUCAUAUAGCAGCAAAACUUUCACCCCCCUUUUAGUAUGUGUGUGUGAAUAGCAGUGGGUUGUCUUUACGGCUGUGCAUGUGUGGUAAACUUUUGCAUGCUCAUUAAGAAGCUGGCAACAAUUUUGAUGGAAGACGUUGCCAGCGCAACCGACCAGCAGCACUCGUUGCGCAGAGGGUAAAAACGCAAAACCCGACUUCGGGAUGCUGCUGGCAGUAAAAGUUAUUUAACCCAUGCGCAUAUAUGCGUGUGUGAAAGUGUGUUUGUAUAUGUGUGCUUUUCUUUGUGUUAAUGGAAGUUCUGAAAUAGCAAACAUAAACGGUAAAUUUGAUUAGAGAGCGAGCGGGCAAAACUUCAAUCACUCUGACUACACACAACAUUUUUAAAGUUAUCCAACCAUUUGACUCUAAAUUGAGAUUUAACGCGGGCGGACACUUUUCGACAUGACGAGUUCGUAUAGAUAGAUAUUAAUGUUCGAUAGUUCGAUUAUGAAUGGCAACGUUUCCCAUACAAAAUUCAAUUACAGAGCUAUGUAAAAUGCACGAAAAACAUUGUUUAAGGCGAUUCCAAAUUGUACAGAUCCUGUAGAAAUUUUAUGGCUACGCAUUUUUGCUUCACUUUUGCAAAAGAAAUUUAAACUAAUUUAGAUUUAGAUUUAAUAAAAAUAAUCAUCAAUAAAAUGUUUGGCUGUACACCAGAUAAUUUUGUUUGCUGGCAUGAACAGAUUUUCAGUAUAGCUUGCUUUCUUUGCACUAUCAAAGGUCUUGAAUGACAUGCGUCCAACUCCGAUUGACAGUUACAAAAUACAAUUUCCAAACUUCAAAAACAAUCUGAUUCUCAAUGGAAAAUACGUGUGCUGAGAAAGUUUUUGGUGACUUUUCAAAAGACCGGAAUAUGGCACAAAUCUAGUUUAAAGACGAACAAAUGUGUAGUUGAUUUGUGGGCAAGAGAAUGUUAUUGGACCCGAAGAAGCCAACACAAUCAGCCAGGCCAUUAAAUAAAUGGUCAACACUAAUUGGGUAUUUAUUGUAGCAGGACACACAAACAAAAUGGUAGCGCAUAAAAUGCGCCAUUAGCAAGGAGAGGCUGUGCGGCAAGCGGCAGUUGGCAGCUGCCAGCUGGUUGCUGGCAAAAGGGUUGUGCGGCUGGUAACAACCUGGGCUUUAGUUCUGAGGCGAAACGGAAAAGCCAGUGCGGAAUAGCUGCAGCGGAUGUGCCUUCAACUAUUGAAAUAAUCCUCAACUGAGACGAAACGAAGCAAAACCAACUUAUUUUUACUUAUUUACUUUUAUUUUAUUUCUGUGUGACAACCUUGAACUUUGUUUACUU